UACGAGAUUAUUUGAAUGAUAUUUGUUCACAAUAUGCUAUUCUUUACAACGGUGUAGGUGGCGGCAAGUUAGUCAUUUCAAUUUUCCUGCUUCGUCUUCGUGUUGCCUGAGAAGGGUCCAGUUGCCUCGGGUCAGACGAGCGCAAGGUUUUUUUUUUUUUUUUUUCUCGACAGUGCAUUGCUCUGGCAGGUGAUUCCAAGCUGGUCAGUUCAACUUCUCCUACUUCUUCGAGCUGUCUUAAGUCAUUCAGUGGCAGUUUUUCCAGACAGUGUUAUGACUUACAGUAGGGUGAUGCAGUGCAAGAUAUGCAGAUUUGAACACCCUGCCCAGGAGGUCCUUUUGA